UACGAAGGACCCGAGCGUUAUCCGGAUUUAUUGGGUUUAAAGGGUGCGUAGGCGUCCUGGAAAGUUACGGUUGAAAUCUCCUUGCUCAACAAGGAAACUGGCCGUAAAACUAUCAGGAUUGAGUACAUUUGAAGCGGGCGGAAUGUGUCAUGUAGCGGUGAAAUGCUUAGAUAUGACACAGAACACCAAUUGCGAAGGCAGCUCGCUAAACUGUAACUGACGCUGAGGCACGAAAGCGUGGGGAUCAAACAGGG
rnacentral:rRNA from 1 species